UACGAAGGGUGCAAGCGUUGCUCGGAAUUAUUGGGCGUAAAGGGUAGGUAGGUGGCCCGGUCAGUUCGUGGUGAAAGCGCGGGGCUCAACCCUGCGUCGGCCAUGAAUACUGCCGCGGCUGGAGCACUGUAGAGGCAGGCGGAAUUCCGGGUGUAGCGGUGGAAUGCGUAGAGAUCCGGAAGAACACCGGUGGCGAAGGCGGCCUGCUGGGCAGUUGCUGACACUGAGGCGCGACAGCGUGGGGAGCAAACGGG
rnacentral:rRNA from 1 species